UACGAAGGGGGCUAGCGUUGCUCGGAAUUACUGGGCGUAAAGCGCACGUAGGCGGCUUUCUAAGUCGGGGGUGAAAUCCUGGAGCUCAACUCCAGAACUGCCUUCGAUACUGGAGAGCUCGAGUCCGGGAGAGGUGAGUGGAACUGCGAGUGUAGAGGUGAAAUUCGUAGACAUUCGCAAGAACACCAGUGGCGAAGGCGGCUCACUGGCCCGGUACUGACGCUGAGGUGCGAAAGCGUGGGGAGCAAACAGG
rnacentral:rRNA from 1 species